UAAGUUGUUCCAUUCGCCGUUGGCGGUCA
rnacentral:sRNA from 1 species